AUAAUGCUUCAGAUCUAAACCUUAUUCCCUCAAUCUCCCGCAUCCCUUACUGCCCCUCUUUCUCUCUCCUCUCUGAGCUUAGAUCUAACUCUCAUACUCUCCUGCAUCGUCUAGAAUCAAAUUUCAUUCGUCUACUUUGUUUGAUGAUUUUUGUUUUUCAAUUUUACUCUACUCGAUUUUUUUGAUUUUACACAAAAAUCUCAGACGAAGGAGAACGAAAACUACGGAGAAGAAGAACUUGCCGCUCUCUACCAUGUCGAGUUUCCAAAUGCCGAUGCUUCCGAUGCGGUUGCUAUCAAGGAUCCUAAAUCUCAGAGGAUGGAUGAACUUGUAGAUGAAGCUGGUGUGCUUCGUUAAAUCCAGGGGAAAUUCAACCACGAGAUGGGGAUGCCUAAAGAUACUUCAAGGGGCCAGAACUUCUUGUUGAUUUACAAGACUAUGACUAUUCCUUGGACAUGUGGAGCCUUGGUUGUAUGUUUGCUGGAAUGAUAUUCCAGAAAGAGCCAUUCUUUUAUGGUCAUGACAAUCAUGACCAACUUGUAAAAAUUGCAAAGAUGUUUGUAUGCAUGUGUGUGAUAGUAAACUAAUCGGUGAAUAAUAUUAGGCAGCUUCAAUUCAGCAUUAUUACACCAGUGAUUUCAAAAAAUUUCCUUUCUAUUAGCAAAACUGGCAGAGGGGUUGAGGGACAUCUAAAAUAGUUUUUUACUUUGAUGAAAGCUAAGUUAAAGUAGGGAAUAUGACCAUGGAAUUUGCUUAGGAGUUCUCAGUAAUUCUAACAAGUGAAAGUAAUAGGAUUUCUAAAUUUGAAGCAUAUUCAGAUAGAUGAUACUGGAGUGGGACAUUGCAUCCAAUACUGUAAGUCAUGUAGCUCUUCCAGGUUAUCUUGGAUGUGAAUCUGUGAUUCUGAGAUUCAUGUACGUGUUCAUGGGAAAGAUAAAAAUGCCAUUUUUUUUGUUGGGUGUGCUGAAUUCUGCUUAAAAAUGUGAAUUAUGUAAAUACAGGGGGAACUGCAGGGGGUUUUUCUUCUCCUUUUUUCCCUUUCGAUCCGGUUUUGGUCCGCCUAUCUGUGUAUUUAUCCUAUCUGUGUAUUGCUGCGACAGCAGCAAUUAUGUUGAAAAUGAGGCAUUAAAUAGCUUAUGGUUAUGCUUCUAUGUAGAAGAUUUCCCUUUUCUUGUUACCUCCGUGGAUAAUUUUGUCUGAGAUCUUGUGUUGUGUAUUCUUAUUACUUUUAU